UGUUCCCUCUGUUGCUAAGAGCUGCA
rnacentral:piRNA from 1 species